GAUAUUGUUGGGUUGACUAUUGGAGCUUUCAUAUAACAUUUACACAAUGAGACUUUUGAUAAAUAAUCAUCCAUAAUAUGUGGAUAAAAUGA